GCCGUCCUUCCUCCCCAGCGGCAGUGUGUAUCCCAGGGAGCUGAAGGUGUCGUCCUUCCUCCCCAGCGGCAGUGUGUACCCCAGGGAGCAGAAGGUGCCAUCCUUCCUCCCCAGCGGCAGUGUGUGUCCCAGGGAGCAGAAGGUGCCGUCCUCCCUCCCCAGCGGCAGUGUGUAUCCCAGGGAGCUGAAGGUGUCGUCCUUCCUCCCCAGCGGCAGUGUGUACCCCAGGGAGCAGAAGGUGCCAUCCUUCCUCCCCAGUGGCAGUGUGUAUCCCAGGGAGCCAAAGGUGUCGUCCUUCCUCCCCAGUGGCAGUGUGUACCCCAGGGAGCUGAAGGUGCCGUCCUUCCUCCCCAGCGGCAGUGUGUACCCCAGGAAGCAGAGACCGUCUGUCUCGCACCCCAGCCGCAGGACAAAAUAUUGAAAGGGGAGACAGUUGGUCCCCCUCUCCACCAGCAAAGAGAGUGUCAGGGAGAGGAGCAGGUUACCCCCUCUCCCCAGCGGCAGUCUACAGUUCAGAGAGAGGAGCUUGUUACACCCUCUCUCCAGCG